rnacentral:rRNA from 1 species
GACGAACCGUGCGAACGUUGUUCGGAAUCACUGGGCAUAAAGGGCGUGUAGGCGGCUUCAUAUGUCCGUGGUGAAAGCAUACGGCUCAACCGUAUUAAGCCUUGGAAACUGUGGAGCUUGAGGCUGGGAGGGGCUGGUGGAAUUCCCUGUGUAGCGGUGAAAUGCGUAGAGAUGGGGGAGAACACUCGUGGCGAAGGCGGCCAGCUGGACCAGUACUGACGCUGAGACGCGAAAGCGUGGGGAGCAAACAGG